ensembl:snoRNA small nucleolar RNA SNORD37
GCAUGUGAUGACUCAAACAUUCUUCACUUUGACCUGACUAAUCAGUGAUGACAACCUUAAGCCUGAGC